rnacentral:rRNA from 1 species
UUGGAGGGCAAGUCUGGUGCCAGCAGCCGCGGUAAUUCCAGCUCCAAUAGCGUAUAUUAAAGUUGUUGCAGUUAAAAAGCUCGUAGUUGAAUUUCGGGAUCAAUAUGUUGGUCGUGCCUUGGUACGUACUGGCGUCAUUGGUUUCUACCUUCUGAAGAACCUCGAUGUCAUUAAUUUGGUGUCUUGGGGAAUCAGGACUGUUACUUUGAAAAAAUUAAAGUGUUUAAAGCAGG